rnacentral:rRNA from 1 species
CCCUUAGAUGUUCUGGGCCGCACGCGCGCUACACUGACGAAUGCAACGAGCUUAUAACCUUGGCCGAAAGGUCUGGGUAAUCUCCAAAUUUCGUCGUGAUGGGGAUAGAUUAUUGCAAUUAUUAAUCUUCAACGAGGAAUGCCUAGUAAGCGCAAGUCAUCAGCUUGCGUUGAUUACGUCCCUGCCCUUUGUACACACCGCCCGUCGCUCCUACCGAUUGAAUGGUCCGGUGGAGCGCUCGGACCGCGGCCUCUUGACGGUUCGCUGUCGAUUGGCUGUGGGAAGUUCGUUAAACCUUAUCAUUUAGAGGAAGGAGAAGUCGUAACA